rnacentral:rRNA from 1 species
ACUCAAAUGAAUUGACGGGGGCUCACACAAGCGGUGGAGCAUGUGGCUCAAUUCGAAGCAACGCGAAGAACCUUAUCCAAGGCUUGACAUGCACGGAUUAACCCCUGGAAACAGGGGCCACGCUCGCAAGAGUGGAACGUGCACAGGUGCUGCAUGGCUGUCGUCAGCUCGUGCUGUGAAGUGUCGGGUUAAGUCCCUUAACGAGCGAAACCCCUAUCGUUAGUUGCUACGGCGCAAGCCAGGACUCUAACGAGACUGCCGGUGUCAAACCGGAGGAAGGUGGGGAUGACGUCAAGUCCUCAUGGCCUUUAUGCCUUGGGCUGCACACGUGCUACAAUGGCGUGCACAAAGCGACGCGAUACCGCAAGGUGGAGCAAAUCGCAUAAAACACGCCCCAGUUCAGAUUGGAGUCUGCAACCCGACUCCAUGAAGUUGGAAUCGCUAGUAAUCGGGGAUCAGCUACGCCCCGGUGAAUGUGUUCCUGAGCCUUGUACACACCGCCCGU